rnacentral:rRNA from 1 species
AGUGAACGCUGGCGGUAGGCCUAACACAUGCAAGUCGAACGGCAGCACAGUAAGAGCUUGCUCUUACGGGUGGCGAGUGGCGGACGGGUGAGGAAUACAUCGGAAUCUACUUUUUCGUGGGGGAUAACGUAGGGAAACUUACGCUAAUACCGCAUACGACCUACGGGUGAAAGCAGGGGAUCUUCGGACCUUGCGCGAUUGAAUGAGCCGAUGUCGGAUUAGCUAGUUGGCGGGGUAAAGGCCCACCAAGGCGACGAUCCGUAGCUGGUCUGAGAGGAUGAUCAGCCACAAUGGAACUGAGACACGGUCCAGACUCAUACGGGAGGCAGAAGUGGGGAAUAUUGGACAAUGGGCGCAAGCCUGAUCCAGCCAUACCGCGUGGGGGAAGAAGGCCUUCGGGUUGUAAAGCCCUUUUGUUGGGAAAGAAAAGCAGCAGGUUAAUACCCCGCUGUUCUGAAGGUACCCAAAGAAUAAGCACCGGCUAACUUCGUG